rnacentral:rRNA from 1 species
GUGGGGAAUAUUGGACAAUGGGCGCAAGCCUGAUCCAGCCAUGCCGCGUGAGUGAUGAAGGCCUUAGGGUUGUAAAGCUCUUUCAGUGGGGACGAUAAUGACGGUACCCACAGAAGAAGCCCCGGCUAACUUCGUGCCAGCAGCCGCGGUAAUACGAAGGGGGCUAGCGUUGUUCGGAUUUACUGGGCGUAAAGCGCACGUAGGCGGAUCGUUAAGUCGGGGGUGAAAUCCUGGAGCUCAACUCCAGAACUGCCUUCGAUACUGGCGAUCUUGAGUCCGGAAGAGGUGAAUGGAACUCCUAGUGUAGAGGUGGAAUUCGUAGAUAUUAGGAAGAACACCAGUGGCGAAGGCUGCUCACUGGUCCGGUACUGACGCUGAGGUGCGAAAGCGUGGGGAGCAAACAGGAUUAGAAACCCGUGUAGUCC